rnacentral:piRNA from 1 species
UGAGAAGGAUGAUUUUGACAAAGACCC